rnacentral:lncRNA from 1 species
AGAGCGUGGAGGUGGCGCGGGCGCGGCGGUGGACCUGGGGGUCGUCACUCCUGCAGCUGGCAGCCGCCGCUGGGCGCUUCCUGUCGCAUCUCUCUUGUCCGGCGGGCGCCCAUCCCGCCCCGCCCCGGCCCGUGGACCUGCAAACCGAGGCUCAGAGCGGAUUUGCCCUAGGGGCUUUCACGAGCUUAGCAGAGGGGUUCCCGGCGGGGUUCCCUGGGGUCACGGGGCGCGAUGAGCAGCGAAGAAAGGAGGCGAGGAGCUGCGUCCGGGCUGGGUGCUCUCUGAACGCGAGGAGGCGGGAUGCGCUCGCCGGGGUCCAUGAUGUGCUCGGCGCCCGUCCCUGGGCCCGGGAAUUCGGCCGCUGGGGAACCCGGGCCAGCGAAUUCGCCCGCGAUCUCCGCGGAUCCCAGGACUGCCAGCGCUUUGGCCCUAGAUGGACGGUGGGGAAUGGGGUAGGGGGCUCCGGAACCCCUAACGUGGAUUACUUGGUGCAUAUCGCCCAGGCAUGGAAGACCCACCACCUCGUCUCCACCCAUGGAUUGAUGCCUUCUGCCGAACAGGUCGCUUACCUGGAGGUGGAACCAGAGAUUCGUGGCUGCUGUGAGUAGGUGCUUCUGACGGGGAAAGAAGGACAAGAUGAGAGGCCUGGAAGGAAGGACCGAUAAAGGGCUGUUCUUCCUCGCCCACGCUUCCCACCAGGAACUUCUGUGGAGCCAGAGUUUGCCGCCAGAACCCCCACAGGACCUGGGUGAAACAGGACCAUCUCUUAAGAGGCAAGAGCUCUUGAUUUGAUUGAGGAUUCUUAUUUUGGAGAACAAAGCAACUUCCAGAUUUGAGAAGACCUGCAGUUGAAGAAGACACCAUUGUCCCGGAUCCCUUGUUCUUCCUUCGCGUGGGAAAUGUUUCUUGGCGGGUGCCUGGUCUUAAGACUCCCCCACACCGGCCCCAGGGAAGCCAAGGACUUUCUGCCACACCCUUCCUCGCCCCCCACCUCCCACGUCCGCUGUGCCUUUGGACUCGGCAAUUCUUCUUGUUUGCUCCAUUAUCUUCCAGCCGGAUACAGAGUGAAUAGUUAACUACCCGCAGGUCAAUGGGGUCUUAAUUUUUGUUCCUGCUCCCUCUACAGAGGCCAGUGUCUGUGUGUUGCUAUGCAAGCGGCCUUGGAAUUGCAUCCCUUCUCAUUGAUUUGGGAUCUGGCCCCCGCAGGUUCCAGAGCAAUGCGGGUCCAGGCAGAAAUUCUUCAAGCUCUCAGGAUGUUGGAGGGGGCGCUGGCCGCGAGCUGGACCAUGAAGGCUGGCGUUCCCCACAUUCAGCUUUCUUGGGUUCGGAUCAUAAGCAGGUGUAGAUCUGGAGAAGCAGAAAAUGAACACAUUUUCUACUGACACCGAUGCACGGUCAGCGGUGAAGACCUUCUCCCAGCUAGCAUUUGGGUUCUGUGUCCAAACGCGGCGCUUCAUGGCAGAGUAUCCAGCCACCAGAGUUGGUGUGUCUUGAGGACCUGAAUUCUUGAGUGUGUGCUGGUGACACAGCCCUCUGACAGUCGAUGGGGCCUCACAAAACACAAGUCCUGCCUUUUCCUUUUCACUCUGUGGCCGUCAUACAUACGGCUAAAAACAUUUCCUAGAGAUCAGUCAUGGUUCAGUCGUGUCCAAAACGCAGAGCCAAAGAUGCAUUUUCUCUUUUCACAGCAAAUGAAUGACUUGCCUUCGGAAAAAGAAUGAAAGCCAGACAUUCUGCAUCUUUCCCGUGUUGUAGAUGAUGCAUUUGGAUGACCACUUUGUGACUUUGGUGUCUUAGAAGGGAAGCAGUGGGGUCCUUGGCAUCUCAGAUUCACCACAAAACAGACGAGGAGAACUUCUGGCGGAUGGUUUGUGCUUUUGAAAUGGGAGGCUUGUUUGUGGGCUUUUACCUUCCUUCCUUGACCUGCAGACACCUCAUUGCAUUAGAUUCCUUUGGGUUUUAAGAAGCAGAGACUUGCUGAUACUGCUCCGUACGUGCUGGUUUGUUUCGAGUUGCCAUGGACGUAAAGAAGAAAGGAAGCAGCCCGCCGAGGCGCUCUCCACCUAGGCCUGCCCAAGAAGCCCAAGUCGUUCCAGAUAGCCAGGGAUAGCAGAACCGAACCACCCUGGCCAUCUUGAUCUUCUGUUUGCACCAGCAUCCACUGUUCCCAGGAUCCUACCAUGGUGAUGAGCUGAGGGUGACUCAGUUGGCCCAGGACUGAGGAGUUUCCUGGGAUGCAGGACUUUUUAGUGCUAAACCUAGGACAGUCCUAAGCAAACUGGAACAACCAGUCACCCUACUGGGUGACUCGAGGACCCUGCCUCUCUUCUACUUUCCCUGCUGUGACUGGCUGAUGCUCUUGAUGGGUCUGGCCAGUCGCCAUUCAAAACUCUUGCGUCAGGCAACUUCAUUGGCCACUGGGCUACCUAUAGAUGGGUGCCCGUGGACCCAGCACCAACCCAUCUUGACCAGAUUUGUUGUUUCCAGGGUCAUAGGGUUGCAUAAUCUAGAAUAAAAGCCUGGCUGUAAACAACCAGCUGAGACCACUUCCUUCAGAAGACUGCUGUGCUUGGUUCCUUCCAGGUAAAAUGAGUGAGUCAGGCCACACGCUUCCCAAAGCCUCUGCCAGCGCUGCCAUCCACAGGGCUGCCAUAUUGGAUGCAGUUCAUGACAAAGGAUUUGCUACUUUUUGUUCUCUCUGGCUCUCCUCCUGCCUUCCCUUCAGCUUGCUCCAAGAUCAUGUGGACACACACCUCAGCAACCUCUGCCCCUCUGACCUCAUCCAAGUCACUGGCCUUGGGAGGCAGCCCAGGUGUUUCGAUUGGGCCAACUGCUGACAUUCCCUGCUGGUGACAACUUCUCCUCGAAGGCCUUCUCCAGCGUGUUUCCAGCUGUCCGUCUUCGUGGUUAUCCAGACUUGUAGGUGACGUAGAAGAGAGAAGGAGAAAUGAACACUGAAAAGAAAAUAGAACUUUGCAUUGCCGUCACCAAGGAAGAAGGCUGAUGGCUGAAGAUGCUUCCAGGCACCCGGAAUUUCAACCCUGAUGCUGCCGUGACCCCUCUGGGGUGAUGGCUGCUCCGUUGCUUUAGGGGUGAAAUUCACUGGGAUGUGACUGUGUGCUCCUGAGGAUGUUGUUAGGCCCAUCACACGAGCCAGGCCAGUCCCCUAAAGGGGGCGUUCGUUUAUUUCAGAGUUGCAGGACGUCUGGGCCAGUGGGGCUGGGAAACAGCACCUGGGUGGGUGGCUCAGAUGGGGAAUCUUUGUUCAGGCUCCGAGAGCAGAAAAUCACUAGAGGGACGUGUCGUAAGUGCUCUGACCCCUUCCCCGGGGAGUGUGGACCCUGGGAGCUGUCUCCUAAGCUGGCCUGAGCUCCUUGAGCCUCUGAGACCAGGUGUGGCCUGAGACACGGCUGGGAGCCGGGGAAUGAGUUAGCUGUGCAGGUUCAGAAAAGUAAGCCAUGUGAUCUGCAGGUUGGCUCAGCAUCCUGCAUUUUGUUUGCUUUUCUUUUCUCAGUCUCUCCAUCUCUCCAUCUCUGGGGGAUUUUGUUUGUUUGUUCUUGUUUUUGUCUUUUGUCUUCUUAGGGACACGCCCGAGGCAUAUGGACGUUCCUAGGCUAGGGUUCAAAUCAGAGCUGCAGCUGCCGACCUAGGCCACGGCCACAGCAACACCCGAUCUGAGCCGCCAUCUGAGCCACCUUACACCACAGGGAUCAAACCCAUGUCCUCAUGGAUACUAGUUGGGUUCAUUACCCCGGAGCCACAAUGGAACUCCCUCUGGGGAGAAGGGCAGGGAGAGAGGGCAGUUCUGCUGGGUCAGCCCCCGCCCCGCCAACCUGGAGAGCUGGCUUCCAGUUUUAAAGCCUUGGGGAGCUUGUGUUUUGUUUAAAUAAGGGAAGCUGUUUCCCUUACAUCCUUUCAAAAAUAAAUAAAUAGAAGUCUGUCAUAUCAUCUUACAGGUGCUGCUACCAACAAACAAAGGUUCAGAAAUGUGAAUAUUUUUUACAAAAGCAAAAGAUAAGAAGUGGAGUUCCCAUCAUGGCUCAGUGGUAAUGAACCGGACUAGUGCCUGUGAGGACGUGGGUUCGAUCCCUGGCCUCACUCAGUGGGUUAAGGAUCUGGCGUUGCCGUGAGCUGUGGUGCAGGUCACAGAGGCCGAUCAGAUCCCACGUUUCUGUGGCUGUGGUAUAGGCCGGCAGCUACAGCUCCACUUCGACCCCACUGUGUUGUGGCCCUAAGAAAAAAGACAACAAGGAAGUUCCCGCUGUGGCGCAAUGGCUAACGAAUCCGACUAGGAACCAUGAGGUUGCGGGUUCGGUCCCUGCCCCUGCUCAGUGGGUUAACGAUCCGGCAUUGCCGUGAGCUGUGGUGUAGGUUGCAGACGCCGCUAGGAUCCUGCGUUGCUGUGGCUCUGGCGUAGGCCGGUGGCUGCAGCUCCGAUUCGACCCCUAGCCUGGGAACUUCCAUAUGCCUCGGGAGCGGCCCAAGAAAUAGCAAAAAGACAAAAAAAAAAAAAAAAAAAAAAAAAA